rnacentral:rRNA from 1 species
AGAGUUUGAUCAUGGCUCAGAUUGAACGCUGGCGGCAGGCCUAACACAUGCAAGUCGAGCGGUAGCACAGAGAGCUUGCUCUCGGGUGACGAGCGGCGGACGGGUGAGUAAUGUCUGGGAAACUGCCUGAUGGAGGGGGAUAACUACUGGAAACGGUAGCUAAUACCGCAUAAUGUCGCAAGACCAAAGUGGGGGACCUUCGGGCCUCAUGCCAUCAGAUGUGCCCAGAUGGGAUUAGCUAGUAGGUGGGGUAACGGCUCACCUAGGCGACGAUCCCUAGCUGGUCUGAGAGGAUGACCAGCCACACUGGAACUGAGACACGGUCCAGACUCCUACGGGAGGCAGCAGUGGGGAAUAUUGCACAAUGGGCGCAAGCCUGAUGCAGCCAUGCCGCGUGUGUGAAGAAGGCCUUCGGGUUGUAAAGCACUUUCAGCGGGGAGGAAGGCGGUAAGGUUAAUAACCUCAUCGAUUGACGUUACCCGCAGAAGAAGCACCGGCUAACUCCGUGCCAGCAGCCGCGGUAAUACGGAGGGUGCAAGCGUUAAUCGGAAUUACUGGGCGUAAAGCGCACGCAGGCGGUCUGUCAAGUCGGAUGUGAAAUCCCCGGGCUUAACCUGGGAACUGCAUUCGAAACUGGCAGGCUAGAGUCUUGUAGAGGGGGGUAGAAUUCCAGGUGUAGCGGUGAAAUGCGUAGAGAUCUGGAGGAAUACCGGUGGCGAAGGCGGCCCCCUGGACAAAGACUGACGCUCAGGUGCGAAAGCGUGGGGAGCAAACAGGAUUAGAUACCCUGGUAGUCCACGCCGUAAACGAUGUCGAUUUGGAGGUUGUGCCCUUGAGGCGUGGCUUCCGGAGCUAACGCGUUAAAUCGACCGCCUGGGGAGUACGGCCGCAAGGUUAAAACUCAAAUGAAUUGACGGGGGCCCGCACAAGCGGUGGAGCAUGUGGUUUAAUUCGAUGCAACGCGAAGAACCUUACCUGGUCUUGACAUCCACAGAACUUUCCAGAGAUGGAUUGGUGCCUUCGGGAACUGUGAGACAGGUGCUGCAUGGCUGUCGUCAGCUCGUGUUGUGAAAUGUUGGGUUAAGUCCCGCAACGAGCGCAACCCUUAUCCUUUGUUGCCAGCGGUUCGGCCGGGAACUCAAAGGAGACUGCCAGUGAUAAACUGGAGGAAGGUGGGGAUGACGUCAAGUCAUCAUGGCCCUUACGACCAGGGCUACACACGUGCUACAAUGGCAUAUACAAAGAGAAGCGACCUCGCGAGAGCAAGCGGACCUCAUAAAGUAUGUCGUAGUCCGGAUUGGAGUCUGCAACUCGACUCCAUGAAGUCGGAAUCGCUAGUAAUCGUAGAUCAGAAUGCUACGGUGAAUACGUUCCCGGGCCUUGUACACACCGCCCGUCACACCAUGGGAGUGGGUUGCAAAAGAAGUAGGUAGCUUAACCUUCGGGAGGGCGCUUACCACUUUGUGAUUCAUGACUGGGGUGAAGUCGUAACAAGGUAACCGUAGGGGAACCUGCGGUUGGAUCACCU